CUCUAUCAAGAAAACAUUUUAGCUAUACCUCACCUAUUUUCACUAUGUGUGCACCUCUCUCAAUACAAACUUAGGUACCCGGAUCAGUUUAAACUUAAUCUAAAGUAGAGUAAAUUAAGCAAGUAGCACCUCUCUAUUUCAUUCUAGCUCCGCCCUCCCGUGUCAGGAGAGAAGGCUGCACACACCCCGUGCGGCAGGCCCGCCUCUCCAAGUGAUUAGCGGUAAGCAUAUUUUUUUAAUAAAAUAAUAAUAAACAAUCAAGUUAAAAAUUUUAAAGUACGAGUUGCAUUGUUGAAAGUUGAAAUUUGAAGUUCAAAAUUUUAAAUAUGAGUUGAAAGCUUUUAUAAUUUGAGUUGAAAGUUUCAAACAACCCCUGCUAAAUAGCUCUUCCGAUAAAAAUUAACUACAGAAGUGAAGCAUUGUUAUGGAGUUAGAGUUAGAACCAUACCCAACAAACAUGCCGCUUGUAGUACUUGGCUUGGGAAUUUUAAUUUUUUAAUUAGAAAAUUAUAAAAAAUAAUUUUUUGUUUUACAAAUUUACAGAUCUACCCUCCUAACGCCAUGUAGGUUUUUUAAGAAAAAAACACCCUUCUUGAGAGCGAGAAGGGUUUAAAAUAUUUUUUUAUUUAGACCCUCUCGUUGGUUUUAAUUACUAAAAAAUAGAAAUAUUUAUUUGAUACUCUAAAUAUUUUUAAAUGAGAAAAAGGGUAAAUUAUAAAGUUGUAGAUCUCAUUAAUGUCUACAACUUUUAUAUAAAGCUUGUCUUCAUCGGAGAUCAUUUGAAAUAUAUAUCUGAAAUUUUAUUAAAAAAAUUCAGAUUUUGUAACGAAUAUUUGUACACCUAAACGAUCUUAAAUAAAAAGGUUGCUAACCAUAAAGUUGUAAAUCUCCUCAAGUUCUACAAUUUUGAUAUAAAUUUUAGUUGCAUCCGACUUCAUAUGACCUAUUUUAAAAUUGUAAAAAUACAAGUUGAUAAGUUGUACGGGAAAUUUUGCAUUUAAGCCCUUUGUUGCUCAUCUAGAGAGCGUUUUCUUAAGAGAAAAAAAAUAAUAAAAAAAACGCCCUCCAAAGGACUGGAAGAGUGUAAUCUCUAAACUUUUAAAACAAAAAACUAUUUAAUUUUUGUAAAUAUUCUAAUAAACAAGAAAAUAAAAAUUUUAAAAAUUCCUUGGCUCGGCUCCAGCUCCAUUAUCCUAGGGCUGAAGCAAUGAAAAACAGGCCAAAAUGCGCAUCCUGCGAGCCCUUCAUCCCAAUCCACCGCCUGCUCUCUCAGCCCAACAGGCGCAGGCCCGGCCCAACCCAUCGGGCCCUUCAACUCGCACCGCAUACGGCCUUCGAGUCCUCGACUACAAAGCACAGCAGUGCCCAGCCCAGUGGCAAGGCCUCCACGGGGCUCUCGCCGGCGGCGGGCUCCGGCGCCGCCGCCCGUCCACUCCAUCGCGCUCAGCGCCGCCGGCCGGGGGGCAGCUUCCGUAGCGAACGGCCACCGCCCGCCCACGCCCCCCCUCGCGCGGGCGCCGGCCCUCUUCUCGCCCUGAAACCUGUCAGGAGAGCUGCUUGCUUGGAAAGCUAAGAAGAAAUUUAUUUCAGAUGUGUGUUUUUUACUUCAUCUUUUGUUCAAGAGUGUGUUUUAUCAUCUUGAUCAUUUAAAUCGGGCAAGCAAUUAAAAUGUUUGAGAGUUAACUUUAGAUACAUUUGAAUUUUUGCGGAGCGGAAGGCACCCCUGUAUUGUGAAUUUGUGAUGGUGCCACCAUUUCAAUUGGUACUACACCAAAUGUCAUAUGUUCAACAAUGAAAGGACUGGUUUCAUAAAUUCUGCAAA